GAUUAAACCUAUGAAUGUCUAUCCUCCGCGCUGUCGACGACGCUCCAUCUCCACUGGUUGCUCUUCUCCUUAACUCACGAUCCAUGCCGUUUCACCAUCUGAUGCGAAUUGAAGUCUUCCAGUCCUCUACACUUUCACUUAUCCUUCCAUGUCUUCCAUCACAAUUGCUACGGUUUCGUUUGUAACUGUUAAUUAUGUUCUUCCAUGUCCUCUGAUUUAAUGGACAGUCCACUACUUCUUCCUUAAAUUGUCGUAAGUUCUUCUGUUAUAUAAACCAAUCUCUUGCCAGAUUCCGACUUUGGGUUUCCUCCAUGUUGAUUUAUAUCAGUUCCACUAUCGUCACAAAAAGGAUCUCUAAGUCUCUUAUUAGGUGAUUCGAUUUAGACAAGUUUUGGAAUAAGCAACAGAUCUUCUUCCAGGAGCAGCUCUCUAAGAAAUGAGCUUGAGAAUGGUGUUGAUGAAGCAGAGCAUGCUGUGCAGUGGGGUGGGAUCAAGAGAUUUCCCACUUUUAAACGGCUGCGGUUUUCUCUGGUUGAAAACCAUGGAAAGGCUGCAGGGAAAGGGAAAAAGGUUGUUGAUGUCACCAAGCUUAAAGCCAUGGAACGUCAUCUGAUGAUUGAGAAGCUCAUCAAACACAAUUAGAAUGACAAUCUCAAGCUGCUCAACAAAAUCAGAAGAAGGAUGGACAGGUGAUAUGUAUAUGAUUGUGAAUCUGCUUCUUGAAAGUAUGAGACUUGAGCUUAAAAAACCUGCAGGGUCGGUGUGGAGUUCCUGAGCACAGAGGUGAGGUAUGAGCAUUUAGGCGUGGAAGCAGAAUGUGAGGUCGUUGAAGGGAAGGCACUUCAUCUUUAUGGAACUCUUUGAAGCAUGUUUUCUUAGUGAGUAUACUGAAGAAUUUAAUGUGGAGUUUAACUUUUGUAGUGGCUGGGGUUGAUUAAAUUCUAAUCUUUUUUCUUUAGGACUUGAUUACCUACUUAAUUAUAUCUUGUAUGGAAUCUUCAUAUCCUCGGACUUGAUAUUUGUGCAGAAAUAUUGGUUGGAAAUGCAAUGAGAAGAGGCAUAUCCGGCGGGCAAGAGAAGUGUCUUACCACAGUUUAUUGCAGGUUUCUCAGUCCUGCUUUGUUAGUUGAGAGUGGAAAGUUCCUUCUAUCUGUAAAACGCAUAAGAAGAACUACUUACACCGAGUAUGUGAUCUCUAUGCGCGCAAAUACCAUUUCGAGAUCAAGCAAUACCUACAUUGGCAAAAUCAGGUCUAAUUUUCUUGGAACGAAAUUCAUAAUUUACGAUACGAGUUAUGGUUACGGCACCAUCACCGUAACAUAAGCUACAAAAAGUUCUUGAAAGAACUAAGGCAUUCAACCUCAAGCAAGGAUGAUGAAGUGAACGUUGAGUAAGAACCCAAAAGAGAGAGGUGAAGAGAUUAGAGACGAGAGUAGUUGAUGUUUUUGUAUAUAAGAUUUGGUUUGGAUUAGUCUUUUGUAAGACAAUAUGGUUUGGAUUAGACCUAGAAUCCUAGAAUGGCACCUUAUAGUCCUUCGAGAAGAUCAUCAUCAUCAUCAUCAUCUGUUUCCAAGAUACUGCGUAUCUCGUCACCGUCUUUGUCUCCACCUUCUUCGACCACUCCUACCGGCGCUGGUUAUAUCAAACAUGAGGUCUCCAAGAUUGAUACUCUCUUUGGCAUUGCCGUCAAAUACAGCGUUGAGGUUGCAGAUAUUACAAAGCUGAAUGGGCUUGUGACUGAUCUUCAGAUGUUUGCUCUCAAGUCUCUCCGAAUACCAUUACCUGGCAGACAUCCUCCUUCCCCAUGCUUAUCUAACGGCUCUCUUAAUCUUGGAAGCUACAAAAAGUUCUUGAAAGAACUAAGGCAUUCAACCUCAAGCAAGGAUGAUGAAGUGAACGUUGAGUAAGAACCCAAAAGAGAGAGGUGAAGAGAUUAGAGACGAGAGUAGUUGAUGUUUUUGUAUAUAAGAUUUGGUUUGGAUUAGUCUUUUGUAAGACAAUAUGGUUUGGAUUAGACCUAGAAUCCUAGAAUGGCACCUUAUAGUCCUUCGAGAAGAUCAUCAUCAUCAUCCUCAUCUGUUUCCAAGAUACUGCGUAUCUCGUCACCGACUUUGUCUCCACCUUCUUCGACCACUCCUACCGGUGCUGGUUAUAUCGAACACGAGGUCUCCAAGCUUGAUACUCUCUUUGGCAUUGCCGUCAAAUACAGCGUUGAGGUUGCAGAUAUUACAAAGCUGAAUGGGCUUGUGACUGAUCUUCAGAUGUUUGCUCUCAAGUCUCUCCGAAUACCAUUACCUGGCAGACAUCCUCCUUCCCCAUGCUUAUCUAACGGCUCUCUUAAUCUUGGGUAUUUUUUUUAGCCUCUUCACCCUCUCUUCGUGGUAUGUAGUCUGUGACAGUGUGACUUAUAAGGUUUUUGCAGAACUUGAGCUGUUUACAUUAGAUUACAUGUAAGUUAUGUUGUUGUGCAUUUCCCAAGUAACAUUAAGAAACUUAGACUAGGUUAGCAAGCUCAUUGAAAGAAGGUUCCAUAAGAUCAGGAUAGUGUUAAGGAGCGAUGAUAUCAAACCAAGAUGGGUACAGCUUUCUUUUGUAAAAGAACCGUUUUGACAUUUUGAAUUAUGUUGUUUGUCAUGUCACCGCAGAAUCAAAGUUACUACUGGUAAAAUGUAAAGUUUCUAUCGGCUCUA